rnacentral:rRNA from 1 species
GAUGAACGCUAGCGGCAGGCUUAAUACAUGCAAGUCGAGGGACAGCACAGGUAGCAAUACUGGGUGGUAACCGGCAAACGGGUGCGGAACACGUACACAACCUUCCUUUAAGUGGGGGAUAGCCCAGAGAAAUUUGGAUUAAUACCCCGUAAUAUAGUUGAAUGGCAUCAUUUGAUUAUUAUAGCUACGGCGCUUAAUGAUGGGUGUGCGGCUGAUUAGAUAGUUGGCGGGGUAACGGCCCACCAAGCCUACGAUAAGUAGCUGAUGUGAGAGCAUUAUCAGCCACACGGGCACUGAGACACGGGCCCGACUCCUACGGGAGGCAGCAGUAAGGAAUAUUGGUCAAUGGACGCAAGUCUGAACCAGCCAUGCCGCGUGAAGGAUUAAGGUCCUCUGGAUUGUAAACUUCUUUUAUUUGGGACGAAAAAGGGCCUUUCUAGGUCAACUGACGGUACCAGAUGAAUAAGCACCGGCUAACUCCGUGCCAGCCGCCGCCGUAAGAC